GUAUGCUUUGGAAACUGUUAGACNUGAGUGCAGAAGGGGAGAGUGGAAUUCCAUGUGUAGCGGUGAAAUGCGUAGAUAUAUGGAGGAACACCGGUGGCGAAAGCGGCUCUNUGGUCUGUCACUGACGCUGAGGCUCGAAAGCGUGGGUAGCGAACAGGAUUAGAUACCNUGGUAGUCCACGCCGUAAACGCUGAGUGCUAGGUGUUAGGUCCUUUCCGGGACUUAGUGCCGACGCUAACGCAUUAAGCACUCCGCCUGGGGAGUACGACCGCAAGGUUGAAACUCAAAGGAAUUGACGGGGGCCCGCACAAGCGGUGGAGCAUGUGGUUUAAUUCGAAGCAACGCGAAGAACCUUACCAGGUCUUGACAUCCCGAUGCCCGCUCUAGAGAUAGAGUUUUACUUUUUGUACAUCGGAGACAGGUGGUGCAUGGUUGUCGUCAGCUCGUGUCGUGAGAUGUUGGGUNNNNNNNNNNNANCGAGCGCAACCCUUAUUGUUAGUUGCCAUCAUUAAGUUGGGCACUCUAGCGAGACUGCCGGUAAUAAACCGGAGGAAGGUGGGGAUGACGUCAAAUCAUCAUGCCCCUUAUGACCUGGGCUACACACGUGCUACAAUGGUUGGUACAACGAGUCGCAAGCCGGUGACGGCAAGCUAAUCUCUGAAAGCCAAUCUCAGUUCGGAUUGUAGGCUGCAACUCGCCUACAUGAUGUCGGAAUCGCUAGUAAUCGCGGAUCAGCACGCCGCGGUGAAUACGUUCCCGGGCCUU
rnacentral:rRNA from 1 species